CUGAAACAUCUAAGUACCCGGAGGAAGAGAAAGAAAAAUCGAUUUCCUAAGUAGCGGCGAGCGAACGGGAAAGAGCCCAAACCAGAAACUUGUUUCUGGGGUUGUGGAUAGAUCAUAAAAGAAGAGGGAUCUUAAUCGAAGAGGGCUGGAACGCCCUACCAUAGAAGGUAAUAGUCCUGUAGAUAAAAAGAGAAAACUUCGAGAUCUAAUCCAGAGUACCACGAGACACGUGAAACCUUGUGGG
rnacentral:rRNA from 1 species